ACUCCUACGGGAGGCAGCAGUAGGGAAUAUUGGUCAAUGGGCGAGAGCCUGAACCAGCCAUGCCGCGUGCAGGAAGACGGCCUUCUGGGUUGUAAACUGCUUUUAUACGGGAAGAAAAUGCCCUUGCGAGGGAAAUUGCCGGUACCGUAUGAAUAAGCACCGGCUAACUCCGUGCCAGCAGCCGCGGUAAUACGGAGGGUGCAAGCGUUGUCCGGAUUUAUUGGGUUUAAAGGGUGCGUAGGCGGGUCUUUAAGUCAGUGGUGAAAGCCUGCAGCUCAACUGUAGAACUGCCAUUGAUACUGGAGGCCUUGAGUGUACUAGAGGUAGGCGGAAUUUAUGGUGUAGCGGUGAAAUGCAUAGAUACCAUAAAGAACACCGAUAGCGUAGGCAGCUUACUGGAGUACAACUGACGCUGAGGCACGAAAGCAUGGGUAGCGAACAGGAUUAGAUACCCUGGUAGGAUAGCGU
rnacentral:rRNA from 1 species